UACGUAGGGUCCGAGCGUUGUCCGGAUUUAUUGGGCGUAAAGAGCUCGUAGGCGGUUUGGCAAGUCGGGUGUGAAAUUUCGAGGCUCAACCUCGAAACGCCACUCGAUACUGCCAUGACUGGAGUCCGGUAGAGGAGUGCGGAAUUCCUGGUGUAGCGGUGAAAUGCGCAGAUAUCAGGAGGAACACCAACGGCGAAGGCAGCACUCUGGGCCGGUACUGACGCUGAGGAGCGAAAGCGUGGGGAGCAAACAGG
rnacentral:rRNA from 1 species